UACGGAGGGCGCAAGCGUUGUUCGGAAUUACUGGGCGUAAAGCGCGUGUAGGCGGCUUGGCAAGUCGGCUGUGAAAGCCCGGGGCUCAACCCCGGAGGGUCAGCCGAAACUGCCUCGCUAGAGUCCCGGAGAGGGUGGCGGAAUUUCCGGUGUAGAGGUGAAAUUCGUAGAUACCGGAAGGAACACCAGUGGCGAAGGCGGCCACCUGGACGGUGACUGACGCUGAGACGCGAAAGCGUGGGGAGCAAACAGG
rnacentral:rRNA from 1 species